GAAUCGCUAGUAAUCGUAGAUCAGAAUGCUACGGUGAAUACGUUCCCGGGCCUUGUACACACCGCCCGUCACACCAUGGGAGUGGGUUGCAAAAGAAGUAGGUAGCUUAACCUUCGGGAGGGCGCUUACCACUUUGUGAUUCAUGACUGGGGUGAAGUCGUAACAAGGUAACCG
rnacentral:rRNA from 1 species